AUGUCUGAAUUUGUGGUGUCUGAGCUGAGCCUGGUCAAUCGAUUAUGACGAGUCUGGAGGUGGAACCAAACAUUUUAAUACCAGCCUGAGUGUCCAACAGUCAUAAUACAUACAUUAACUCAUGAUAACAUUGUGAUCUCUAGGAGGCUGUGAUGGGGAAUCAUCUCCAGAAUAGGGCAAAGGCUUUGGUUCAACAAUUAACUCGUUGUUCUGGUCCCACCCUGUCUAAAUGGUGCAGGUGAGAAUUUCCAAGUCUUCAGUUGUUUCAGUGCAGUAACAUUUUACUCUUUAAUCUUCUAGUGACUAAGACACACUUAUCAUAUACAUACAGUAUGUGUUAGAGAGCUGAGAUGGUUUAGAAUGAUGAUGUCUCUCCCUUACAGAAACGAGGCAGAGAGAAAGCUCAUUGAGUUUGCUGUAUCGUCAGAGGAGGCACACAGAGAAGUGUGGAUGGCGAUUGUUGAAAAGAUGGUCCAGAUGCACAAUAGUAAACGUUGGCGUCAAAAGUUGAUAGGGGUCCACAAGUUCAUCGAGAGGUUUCCUUCCAUAUUUUUUAUUCCUGAAUCAAUCCAUCCUGUCUGGAAGACUCUCAAUCCAGAGAAUCCCCCACUGAUUGUUCCCCCCUCGACCGGACAACACGCCCAGCUUCCACCGCCGGAGGCUGUGACGGCGAAGGGUCUCCAGAAUAAGGCGAAGGCGUUGGUUUACCAAUUGAUUCGUUUUUCCGGCCGCACCUUACCUGAUUGUCUCAGAGACAAGAUAGAGAGGAAGCUCGUCGAAUUUGCCGAAUCAUCAGAGGAGGCACGUCGGGAAUUGAGGCUGACCAUGAUGAAAGAGAUGGUCCGGCUGCACAACAUGAAACGUUGGCAGCGCAAGUUGAUAGAUGUCCACAAGUUCAUCGAGCGGUUUCCUUCCAUAUUUUUUCCUUUUUCCCCCUCACCCGGACAACACGACCAGCCUCCGGAGGCUGUGAUGGGGAAUCAUAUCCAGAGAAAGGGAAAGGCCUUGGUUCAACAGUUAAUUCAUUUUUCCGGUCCCAACAUAGAUAAAUGGUUCAGUCAUUACAGAGACGAGGCACAGAGAAGGCUUAUUGAGUUUGCCGAAUCCUCAGAAGGGGCAAGGAGAGAAGUGAGGCUGAUUAUGGUUGAAGAGAUGGUUCUGAUGCACAGUGGUAAACGGCGUCCAAAGUUGAUAGGCAUCCACAGGUUCAUCGAGAGCUGUCAAUCAGUAAAGUGGUCUGACAGGAAAUCUCACUACAAGAAGAACAAAACUCCAACCAACCAUGGCACGCACAAGGACUAAUGAUGACAUGCAGUACACUUUCUCUGUCAGCUCCAAAAAGCAGCUAAUGGUACCCCACACACGUGCAUGUAAAUCUCAACUACACAUUGAAUUGAAUACGCACAUCUUGCAACUGGUCUGUCUGCUCACCUGUAUAGGAACAAUUGCACUCUGAACAGAAGGAGGCUUAUUCCAUAUCACAACCACUGCUGGAAACUGAGACUGGAUUCAUAAAGGCAUGUCUGAAUGAAUUCCUGGCGUUUGGAUGAGACACUCACACGAUCCGCUCAGGUACCUCUGGUGUCAGGUGUUUAUGCAGCAGUCGGGACACACGGGUGUAAAGAGGACAAUACCGGGUGCCGGAGAGAGCAAAGUUCAUACAAGACACAGCCAAGGGACCAGACGUCACUGUAACACAUACGUAUACACAAAUUUCACAAAUGUAUAUUUUGUUUAAAAAUGUAGGAAGUUAUACGAUGGGCUGAAUAGUUUUACCUUUUAUUAUUGUAAGGUUUGCUGUCCCAUAUCUCCGGAGACACAUAGUAUGGGGUACCAACGUAUGUCUGCGCAAAUGCUUUUGCACUGCAGAAUUACACAUCAAAACAUGAUUCUAUUGUACAAAAUCUACCGAAAGAACAGAAACACAGCAGUAUUUCAGUACCUGUUAAGAGUACACGCUGAACCAAAAUCUCCAACCUUCACAAGUCCAUUACCUGUCAGGAAAAUGUUCUCCAGAGAGAAAAUGCAAGCGCAUAAAUACGCAUUCCAGCUUGAAAUCAACCAAAUGAAUCAACAAGAUUCUAUUGAACAUUCGCCUUAAUGUUGUGUUUUUGUAUAGUGUCAAAUUGGCUUAAGCAUCCAAAUAGAAGGUUUUUUUUAAAGAUGUAAUUCAUCAGGGCAACUAUGGAUCUGUUUCACUCAUGUCUGACUUAAAGUGAUACUUCACCCAAAAUGAAAAUUCUGUCAUCAUUUAGUCACCUUCGAGUUGUUCCAAAUCUGUAUACAUUUCUUUGUUCUGAUGAACGCAGAGAAAGAUAUUUGGAAGAAUGCUUAAAACCAGACAGAUAUUUUGCCCCCCAUUGACUCCCAUAGUAGGAACAAAUACAAUGGUAGUCAAAAGUGCCCCAGAACUGUUUGCUGUCCUACAUUCUUCAAAAUAUCUUCUUUUGUGUUUAACAGAACAAAAAAACUACUCCUACUAUGGCAGUCAAUGGGGGGCAAAAUCUGUCUAGUUAUAAGCAUUCUUCCAAACAUCUUUCUUUUUUGGGUCACUUUAAAUAUACAAUUAUAUCCAUUGUGUUAUGAUUUAAAAUCGAACAAACGUCUUUUUGUAAAAUGUUUUACUUCACAAGUAUGCAGGUGCUAUUGCACAUGUAUACUUCUAUACAGUAAUAUCAAUAUAUAAUAUCAACAAUGUAUACAAAU